AUUGAACGCUGGCGGCAGGCCUAACACAUGCAAGUCGAACGGUAGCACAGAGAGCUUGCUCUCGGGUGACGAGUGGCGGACGGGUGAGUAAUGUCUGGGAAACUGCCCGAUGGAGGGGGAUAACUACUGGAAACGGUAGCUAAUACCGCAUGACGUCGCAAGACCAAAGUGGGGGACCUUCGGGCCUCACACCAUCGGAUGUGCCCAGAUGGGAUUAGCUAGUAGGUGGGGUAAUGGCUCACCUAGGCGACGAUCCCUAGCUGGUCUGAGAGGGUGACCAGCCACAAUGGAACUGAGACACGGUCCAGACUCCUACGGGAGGCAGCAGUGGGGAAUAUUGCACAAGGGGCGCAAGCCUGAUGCAGCCAUGCCACGUGUAUGAAGAAGGCCUUCGGGUUGUAAAGUACUUUCAGCGGGGAGGAAGGCGGUGAAGUUAAUAGCUUCACCGAUUGACGUUACCCGCAGAAGAAGCACCGGCUAACUCCGUGCCAGCCGCCGUAAGAC
rnacentral:rRNA from 1 species